rnacentral:rRNA from 1 species
AUUGAACGCUGGCGGCAGGCCUAACACAUGCAAGUCGAGCGGAUGAAGGGAGCUUGCUCCUGGAUUCAGCGGCGGACGGGCGAGUAAUGCCUAGGAAUCUGCCUGGUAGUGGGGGAUAACGUCCGGAAACGGGCGCUAAUACCGCAUACGUCCUGAGGGAGAAAGUGGGGGAUCUUCGGACCUCACGCUAUCAGAUGAGCCUAGGUCGGAUUAGCUAGUUGGUGGGGUAAAGGCCUACCAAGGCGACGAUCCGUAACUGGUCUGAGAGGAUGAUCAGUCACACUGGGACUGAGACACGGUCCAGACUCCUACGGGAGGCAGCAGUGGGGAAUAUUGGACAAUGGGCGAAAGCCUGAUCCAGCCAUGCCGCGUGUGUGAAGAGGGUCUUCGGAUUGUAAAGCACUUUAAGUUGGGAGGAAGGGCAGUAAGUUAAUACCUUGCUGUUUUGACGUUACCAACAGAAUAAGCACCGGCUAACUUCGUG